UACGAAGGGGGCUAGCGUUGCUCGGAAUGACUGGGCGUAAAGGGCGCGUAGGCGGCUUGCACCGUCAGAUGUGAAAUUCCUGGGCUUAACCUGGGGGCUGCAUUUGAUACGUGUGGGCUUGAGUGCGGAAGAGGGUCGUGGAAUUCCCAGUGUAGAGGUGAAAUUCGUAGAUAUUGGGAAGAACACCGGUGGCGAAGGCGGCGACCUGGUCCGUGACUGACGCUGAG
rnacentral:rRNA from 1 species